rnacentral:rRNA from 1 species
UACAGAGGUCUCAAGCGUUGUUCGGAUUCACUGGGGUUAAAGGGUGCGUAGGUGGAUUAGUAAGUCAGUGGUGAAAUCUCCGGGCUUAACCCGGAAACUGCCAUUGAUACUAUUAGUCUUGAAUACCGUGGAGGUCAGCGGAAUAUGUCAUGUAGCGGUGAAAUGCUUAGAUAUGACAUAGAACACCAAUUGCGAAGGCAGCUGGCUACACGAGCAUUGACACUCAGGCACGAAAGCGUGGGGAUCAAACAGG